GCACCGGUGGUGUAAUGGCGUAGAGCAUUCCCGCCCGGUCAGAGGGAGGUGCGGGUUCGAGUCCCGCUUGGCGCU
rnacentral:tRNA from 1 species